GACGAACGCUGGCGGCGUGCUUAACACAUGCAAGUCGAACGGUAAGGCUCCAGCUUGCUGGGGUACACGAGUGGCGAACGGGUGAGUAACACGUGGGUGACCUGCCCUGCACUUCGGGAUAAGCCUGGGAAACUGGGUCUAAUACCGGAUAGGACCGCACCGUGAGGGUGUGGUGGAAAGUUUUUUCGGUGUGGGAUGGGCCCGCGGCCUAUCAGCUUGUUGGUGGGGUAAUGGCCUACCAAGGCGGCGACGGGUAGCCGGCCUGAGAGGGUGGACGGCCACAUUGGGACUGAGACACGGCCCAGACUCCUACGGGAGGCUGCAGUGGGGAAUAUUGCACAAUGGGCGGAAGCCUGAUGCAGCGACGCCGCGUGGGGGAUGACGGCCUUCGGGUUGUAAACUCCUUUCACCAUCGACGAAGGGUUUCUGACGGUAGAUGGAGAAGAAGCACCGGCUAACUACGUGCCAGCAGCCGCGGUAAUACGUAGGGUGCGAGCGUUGUCCGGAAUUACUGGGCGUAAAGAGCUCGUAGGUGGUUUGUCGCGUCGUCUGUGAAAUUCCGGGGCUUAACUCCGGGCGUGCAGGCGAUACGGGCAUAACUUGAGUACUGUAGGGGAGACUGGAAUUCCUGGUGUAGCGGUGAAAUGCGCAGAUAUCAGGAGGAACACCGGUGGCGAAGGCGGGUCUCUGGGCAGUAACUGACGCUGAGGAGCGAAAGCAUGGGGAGCGAACAGGAUUAGAUACCCUGGUAGUCCAUGCCGUAAACGGUGGGCGCUAGGUGUGGGUUUCCUUCCACGGGAUCCGUGCCGUAGCUAACGCAUUAAGCGCCCCGCCUGGGGAGUACGGCCGCAAGGCUAAAACUCAAAGGAAUUGACGGGGGCCCGCACAAGCGGCGGAGCAUGUGGAUUAAUUCGAUGCAACGCGAAGAACCUUACCUGGGCUUGACAUAUACAGGAUCGCGCCAGAGAUGGUGUUUCCCUUGUGGCUUGUAUACAGGUGGUGCAUGGUUGUCGUCAGCUCGUGUCGUGAGAUGUUGGGUUAAGUCCCGCAACGAGCGCAACCCUUGUCUUAUGUUGCCAGCACGUUGUGGUGGGGACUCGUAAGAAACUGCCGGGGUUAACUCGGAGGAAGGUGGGGAUGACGUCAAAUCAUCAUGCCCCUUAUGUCCAGGGCUUCACACAUGCUACAAUGGUCGGUACAGUGGGUUGCCAGUCCGUGAGGGCGAGCUAAUCCCGCAAAGUCGGUCUCAGUUCGGAUCGGGGUCUGCAACUCGACCCCGUGAAGUCGGAGUCGCUAGUAAUCGCAGAUCAGCAACGCUGCGGUGAAUACGUUCCCGGGCCU
rnacentral:rRNA from 1 species